UACGUAGGGUGCGAGCGUUGUCCGGAUUUAUUGGGCGUAAAGAGCUCGUAGGCGGUUUGUCGCGUCGGCCGUGAAAUCUCCACGCUUAACGUGGAGCGUGCGGUCGAUACGGGCAGACUUGAGUUCGGUAGGGGAGACUGGAAUUCCUGGUGUAGCGGUGAAAUGCGCAGAUAUCAGGAGGAACACCGGUGGCGAAGGCGGAUCUCUGGGCCUGUCCUGACGCUGAGGCGCGAAAGCUAGGGGAGCGAACAGG
rnacentral:rRNA from 1 species